rnacentral:rRNA from 1 species
CACGUAGGGGACGAGCGUUGUCCGGAUUCAUUGGGCGUAAAGCGCGCGUAGGCGGCUCGGAAAGUCGGUCGUGAAAUGCCGGGGCUCAACCCCGGGACUGCGUCCGAUACUUCCGGGCUGUAGGUAGGUAGGGGAGAUCGGAAUUCCUGGUGUAGCGGUGAAAUGCGCAGAUAUCAGGAGGAACACCGGUGGCGAAGGCGGAUCUCUGGGCCUUACCUGACGCUGAGGCGCGAAAGCUAGGGGAGCGAACAGG